AAAGUAUCUACUUGUCAUCUUUACCCAAUUAGCGUUGCAAAAUGCUAAUCUGAGAGAGCACGAGAUCUCACUUCAUUUUGGACCAUGCGUGUUUAUAUUUGUUCAUAGUACUCAACACGCCCAUGACAUAGACAAAUUCAUGAAAUCAUCAAAACUUAUGUUGAGAGUAAAGAGGAGUUUUCUUCUGAAA